UACGAAGGGGGCGAGCGUUGUUCGGAUUUACUGGGCGUAAAGGGCGCGCAGGCGGCACAUUUUGUCAGGCGUGAAAGCCCCGGGCUUAACCUGGGAACUGCGUUUGAUACGGAUGGGCUAGAGUUCGGGAGAGGAGAGUGGAAUUCCCAGUGUAGAGGUGAAAUUCGUAGAUAUUGGGAAGAACACCGGUGGCGAAGGCGGCUCUCUGGACAGUUCCUGACACUGAGACACGAAGGCCAGGGGAGCAAACGGG
rnacentral:rRNA from 1 species